AUGCUUAUCCUUCCCUCGGCGCCCUCGCUGCGACCGCGGCUCGGCCUCGGGCCGUCCUCUAGCCGCGCGCGCGGAGUCGCCCUCCGUGCCCUGCCGGGCCGCCUCGAGCUCUGGCACCCACGCCUCGCCGCCGUAGAGAGCGGGCCUCCUUCCAGCCAAUCUUCUGCCCCGCCUCCUCAGCUUAGCUCGGAAUUGCUGGGUGGCAUGUCAGGAUUGGAUGCGGGGUUCGGAGGCGGUGGUGGUGGUGGAGACGGAGGUGGUGACGCUGAUCUCGGGUGGGUGCGGGUGUUCCCGCACGUGCUCACGGCGUCCAUGGCCAAUUUCCUCUUUGGCUACCACAUUGGGGUCAUGAAUGGUCCGAUAGAGGAUAUUGCACGAGAGCUUGGUUUUCAAGGAAAUCCAUUUCUCCAAGGUCUUGUGGUCAGCAUAUUCAUUGUCGGUGCAUUCUUUGGGAGCUUAGGCUCGUCUGCGCUAGUUGAUUAUUUAGGUUGUAAAAGGACUCUUCAGAUUGAUAGUAUUCCAUUAAUUCUUGGGGCUUUCAUCAGUGCACAGGCACAUUCGUUGGAUGAGAUGCUCCUGGGAAGGUUCCUUGUUGGCAUUGGAAUUGGCGUAAAUACCGUGCUUGUUCCAAUAUAUAUCUCUGAGGUUGCUCCAACAAAAUACAGAGGCACUUUGGGUACUCUAUGCCAGAUUGGAACAUGUUUAGGAAUAAUUGCUGCACUUUCCUUGGGGAUACCUUCUGAAAGUGAUCCACAUUGGUGGCGAACAAUGCUUUAUGCAGCAUGUGUGCCUGGUUUUUUCAUUGUUGUUGGAAUGCAAUUCGCCGUUGAGAGUCCACGCUGGCUUGCCAAGGUUGGGAGAUUAGAUGAUGCCAGAAAAGUGGUAGAGAAUAUUUGGGGAGUUGCUGAAGCGGAGAAGGCCAUGGAAGAAAUGAAAUCUGUUGUUGCAAAUGAUGAUUCACAGGCUAGCUGGUCAGAACUUCUGGCAGAACCCCACAACAGAGUUGCAUUGAUUGGAGGGUCGCUUUUCUUUCUGCAACAGUUUGCUGGAAUAAAUGGUGUUCUCUAUUUUUCAUCAUUAACAUUCCGUGAUGUUGGUAUUACGAGUGGUAUUUUGGCGAGCUUAUAUGUUGGAAUAACCAACUUUGGAGGGGCACUUGUUGCUUCAAAUUUGAUGGACAAGCAAGGACGGAAGAAUCUUUUGAUAGGGAGCUAUCUUGGAAUGGCAUUUGCUAUGUUCCUCAUAGUGUUUUCCAUCAGCUUUCCCCUUGAUGAAGGCGUUGGACAUACCCUCUCAGUUACCGGAACUCUUUUGUACAUUUUUACUUUUGCUCUUGGUGCUGGGCCAGUCACUGGAAUUAUCAUACCUGAGCUGAGCAGUGCCCGGACACGCUCAAAAGUUAUGGGGUUCAGCUUCACUGUACAUUGGAUAUGUAAUUUUGUGGUGGGACUAUAUUUCCUGGAGCUUGUAAAGUUGUUUGGCGUCGGAGCGGUGUAUGCAGGUUUCGGUGGAGUCUCCUUGCUGUCCGCACUUUUCGCUUACAAUUUCAUAGUUGAGACAAAAGGACGUUCUCUUGAGGAAAUUGAGAUGUCUCUGAGCCCUGCUGCCCCAGGGGAACGAAAGUAG
rnacentral:rRNA from 1 species